CCAUGAAAGAAUGGAUCACAAAUCACCGGAAUAAUGGCUUCUCAGUCUCUACAAAAAUGAUAAUAUAUGAAGCCAAACGCAUUGCUGUAGAGAAAGGCAUUCACGAUUUUAUUGGAUCACCAUCGUGGUGCUACAGAUUUAUGAAGCGAUGUGGCCUUGCUAUGCGCACCAAAACUAGAAUUGCGCAAAAAAUGCCAAAAGAAUAUGAAUCUAAG